rnacentral:rRNA from 1 species
GAUGAACGCUGGCGGCGUGCCUAAUACAUGCAAGUCGAACGCAUAGCGAAAGGUGCUUGCACCUUUCAAGUGAGUGGCGAACGGGUGAGUAACACGUGGACAACCUGCCUCAAGGCUGGGGAUAACAUUUGGAAACAGAUGCUAAUACCGAAUAAAACUUAGUGUCGCAUGACACAAAGUUAAAAGGCGCUUCGGCGUCACCUAGAGAUGGAUCCGCGGUGCAUUAGUUAGUUGGUGGGGUAAAGGCCUACCAAGACAAUGAUGCAUAGCCGAGUUGAGAGACUGAUCGGCCACAUUGGGACUGAGACACGGCCCAAACUCCUACGGGAGGCUGCAGUAGGGAAUCUUCCACAAUGGGCGAAAGCCUGAUGGAGCAACGCCGCGUGUGUGAUGAAGGCUUUCGGGUCGUAAAGCACUGUUGUAUGGGAAGAACAGCUAGAAUAGGAAAUGAUUUUAGUUUGACGGUAACAUACCAGAAAGGGACGGCUAAAUACGUG